rnacentral:rRNA from 1 species
CGAGAGAGCUUGCUCUCUUGGCGGCGAGUGGCGGACGGGUGAGUAAUAUAUCGGAACGUGCCCAGUAGCGGGGGAUAACUACUCGAAAGAGUGGCUAAUACCGCAUACGCCCUACGGGGGAAAGGGGGGGAUCGCAAGACCUCUCACUAUUGGAGCGGCCGAUAUCGGAUUAGCUAGUUGGUGGGGUAAAGGCUCACCAAGGCAACGAUCCGUAGCUGGUUUGAGAGGACGACCAGCCACACUGGGACUGAGACACGGCCCAGACUCCUACGGGAGGCAGCAGUGGGGAAUUUUGGACAAUGGGGGAAACCCUGAUCCAGCCAUCCCGCGUGUAUGAUGAAGGCCUUCGGGUUGUAAAGUACUUUUGGCAGAGAAGAAAAGGUAUCUCCUAAUACGAGAUACUGCUGACGGUAUCUGCAGAAUAAGCACCGGCUAACUACGUGCCAGCAGCCGCGGUAAUACGUAGGGUGCAAGCGUUAAUCGGAAUUACUGGGCGUAAAGCGUGUGUAGGCGGUUCGGAAAGAAAGAUGUGAAAUCCCAGGGCUCAACCUUGGAACUGCAUUUUUAACUGCCGAGCUAGAGUAUGUCAGAGGGGGGUAGAAUUCCACGUGUAGCAGUGA